rnacentral:rRNA from 1 species
UACGUAGGGCGCGAGCGUUGUCCGGAUUUAUUGGGCGUAAAGAGCUCGUAGGCGGUCUGUCGCGUCGGUCGUGAAAACUCGGGGCUCAACCCCGAGCCUGCUUCCGAUACGGGCAGACUAGAGGUAUGCAGGGGAGAAUGGAAUUCCUGGUGUAGCGGUGAAAUGCGCAGAUAUCAGGAGGAACACCGGUGGCGAAGGCGGUUCUCUGGGCAUUACCUGACGCUGAGGAGCGAAAGUGUGGGGAGCGAACAGG